UUGACCUCGGAUCAGGUAGGGAUACCCGCUGAACUUAAGCAUAUCAAUAAGCGGAGGAAAAGAAACCAACAGGGAUUGCCCCAGUAACGGCGAGUGAAGCGGCAAGAGCUCAAAUUUGAAAGCUGGCUCCUUCGGGGCCCGCAUUGUAAUUUGCAGAGGAUGCUUCGGGAGCGGUCCCCAUCUAAGUGCCCUGGAACGGGACGUCAUAGAGGGUGAGAAUCCCGUAUGGGAUGGGGUGUCCGCGCCCGUGUGAAGCUCCUUCGACGAGUCGAGUUGUUUGGGAAUGCAGCUCUAAAUGGGUGGUAAAUUUCAUCUAAAGCUAAAUAUUGGCCGGAGACCGAUAGCGCACAAGUAGAGUGAUCGAAAGAUGAAAAGCACUUUGAAAAGAGAGUUAAAAAGCACGUGAAAUUGUUGAAAGGGAAGCGCUUGCGACCAGACUCGCUCGCGGGGUUCAGCCGGCAUUCGUGCCGGUGUACUUCCCCGCGGGCGGGCCAGCGUCGGUUUGGGCGGUCGGUCAAAGGCCCUCGGAAGGUAACGCCCCUAGGGGCGUCUUAUAGCCGAGGGUGCAAUGCGACCUGCCUAGACCGAGGAACGCGCUUCGGCUCGGACGCUGGCAUAAUGGUCGUAAGCGACC
rnacentral:rRNA from 1 species